rnacentral:rRNA from 1 species
CACGUAGGCACCAAGCGUUGUCCGGAUUUAUUGGGCGUAAAGAGCUCGUAGGCGGUUCGGUAAGUCGGGUGUGAAAACUCUGGGCUCAACCCAGAGCCGCCACCCGAUACUGCUGUGACUUGAGUUCGGUAGGGGAGCGGGGAAUUCAUGGUGUAGCAGUGAAAUGCGUAGAGAUCAUGAGGAAGACCAGUGGCGAAGGCGGGUCUCUGGACAGUUCCUGACACUGAGGCACGAAGGCCAGGGGAGCAAACGGG